rnacentral:rRNA from 1 species
ACAUCUGGAAACGAAUGCUAAUACCUGAUAUUAUGAUUUUAGGGCAUCCUAGGAUUAUGAAAGCUAUAUGCGCUGUGAGAGAGCUUUGCGUCCCAUUAGCUAGUUGGAGAGGUAACGGCUCACCAAGGCGAUGAUGGGUAGCCGGCCUGAGGGGGGUGGAUCGGCCACAAGGGGACUGAGACACGGCCCUU